GAACUUUACAAAACACUUAGAAAAUAAAGAAAGAAAAUAAAAUGAGAAAAAUUCAGGGGAAAUAGAAAAAUAACUAAUAAUUAGGUGAAAUUGUGAGUAUGCAUGGUUUUCUUGAAUACUUUUAUUGUGUUCCAUUGUUUUCUUGAAUAUUGUUGCCAAGCUCCAAUCUUUUCCAGAGUAUUUAUAAUUAUUGUUCAUUUUACAUUCCUAGGAUCAUUAGUAAUUUAACUAGAUAUGUGACUGCUUAACUUUUAGAUAUUCAUCUGUGGAUUUGAUUGAUAUUUUUGUUCUAAUUUUGCAGCGGUUGAAACCGCGCCAUGUCACCAUAAAAGCAAUUGUGUGGAUCUCCAGGACAAAUAUAGACGGUUUUGAAACUCAAGAGACCAACUUUGAACUAAGUAGAGUUUCCUUUUUCCUCGCAAAAAAAGUAGAGUUUCCUUUUAUUUUGCCGAUAGUUGAGGAAGUGCAUUUCUUAUUUUGUUUGCUUUUGGAUGAGGGAGGAUUUAAUUAGUAAAUAAUUGCCUCAUCGCAAGCUCAAGUAAAUGGUGGGAACAUCAUUUUUAUUUGUACAAGAAAAAAAAGUUCAGAGUUAUUUUUCUUUCUUUCUCAGGGGCAGGGCAGGGGACACUGGGACAUUUUUUUUUGAGGGUUAGACAUUUUUUUUAAAGAUCAGGCAGGGGAUAGCCAGAAAUGUACUUGGAAGCCCAUUCGACAAAGUAGGCCUUCAACCAUAGGAAUAGAUAGGCCCAUAUACCAUUCCUAAAAAAGAGAUAGGCCCAUACUCUCACGGGUGUUCGGCCAGUCGGCCGGCCGGUUGAAUGCUGCCUCCGGCGAUCGCCGGCGUCCGAGCCUCAGAUGUCGCCGACCGUUGAUUGGAGACGAAAUGCCUCGCCUGCCAGCACUAUGUGAUCCGGCCGCAGUGCAGGCGUGCAGGCAACGAAUUAAUGAUCAAAGGAGAGAAAAAUAUAGCUUGGCCAAGUCACGACAGCUAAAAAAUCACGAUGAGGCAUUUCAGCAUACUUCAAUGAUGAUAUUCUUGGAUAUCGCCGGGAAACAUGGUGCUACUGUGGAUACCCUCAUCGUUAAACGGGGCUGUAUAGUCAGAUGUGUAUACAUGUGACAUGCUGUAAUCCUGAGAAGAUUGCAUGGAAGUACAGGUCAUAAGGUCAUUGCCGAAGUAGCUUUCGCCCUCACUCUUUACAGCGGGGCAUAAUUCUGCUGGCCGUGGCAUCCUAGCUUCCCCUUUCUGCUAAUUAAGUUCACCAGGCCUCCACCCAACCGAGUGAAGUGGAUAGUAGGUCCAGAAAAGUGGAGGCAGCCUUACAGAGCUCAGUGUGUGAUCAUUGUAAAGUUUAGUUAGUGCAAGUGCAAACCUCUUGCAACCAGGUACACAUCCUUGAUGUUGCAACCAGGUAUCUAAAGUUACAUUCCAGUGGCUGAGAUGCAGAGAGUUGUUGGGUGUAGUUUCUUCUAUUUGUAUGCUCGCCGUGGAGAUGGAUCCUCUAUGUAGCAUGCACUGUCAGCUAUGUAGUGCACUUGUAGGAAUUAAUCACUUUUUUGCUAAAUUCAUCCGCCGAUUGAUCUUGCUAGCACUUUAGUGUGUACUCAUGCUGUAUCAGCAUUUAGAAGCUCAGUUCUGACCAAUGAACGUUGAAUGAAUCCCAUCAGAAGUCUGGCCUGGGAGUUGGGAAGAAGUUCCUGUAAGCUGAACCGAAUUGCACCUGCCUUAGCCCUGGUUCUAUUUGCUACUGCUUACAUACAUGGCUGGGUUUCGGUGCUUCUUUGCCUUCUUUGAUGAGAAAUAAAAUGGCUCGCUUGUUCCUGCUGGA